rnacentral:rRNA from 1 species
CAAAUCAGGCGGGACUACCCGCUGAACUUAAGCAUAUCAAUAAGCGGAGGAAAAGAAACUAACAAGGAUUCCCCUAGUAACUGCGAGUGAAGCGGGAUGAGCUCAAAUUUAAAAUCUGGCGUCUUCGGCGUCCGAGUUGUAAUUUAGAGAAGCGUUUUCCGCGCCGGACCGUGUACAAGUCUCCUGGAACGGAGCGUCAUAGAGGGUGAGAAUCCCGUCUUUGACACGGACAACCGGUGCUCUGUGAUACGCUCUCGAAGAGUCGAGUUGUUUGGGAAUGCAGCUCAAAAUGGGUGGUGAACUCCAUCUAAAGCUAAAUAUUGGCGAGAGACCGAUAGCGAACAAGUACCGUGAGGGAAAGAUGAAAAGCACUUUGGAAAGAGAGUGAAAUAGUACGUGAAAUUGUUGAAAGGGAAACGCUUGAAGUCAGUCGCGUCCGCCGGGAUUCAGCCUUACGGUGUACUUUCCGGUGGACGGGCCAGCAUCACUUUCAAUCAUUGGAAAAGGGCGAAGGGAAUGUGGCACCUCCGGGUGUGUUAUAGCCCUUUGUCGUAUACAGUGACUGGGAGUGAGGACCGCCUUUGUAGGAUGCUGGCGUAAUGGCUUUAAACGACCCGUCUUGAAACACGGACCAAGGAGUCUAACAUGCCCGCGAGUGUUCGGGUGGAAAACCCGUGCGCGUAAUGAAAGUGAAAGUUGGGAAGGCUAUCGUGGGCUGCACCGACGCCCGGACUUGAGAUUUAUCGAAGGUUCUGCGGUAGAGCGUGUAUGUUGGGACCCGAAAGAUGGUGAACUAUGCCUGAAUAGGGUGAAGCCAGAGGAAACUCUGGUGGAGGCUCGUAGCGAUCUGACGUGCAAAUCGAUCGUCAAAUUUGGGUAUAGGGGCGAAAGACUAAUCGAACCAUCUAGUAGCUGG